GAUGAACGCUGGCGGCGUGCCUAAUACAUGCAAGUCGAGCGAACAGACGAGGAGCUUGCUCCUCUGACGUUAGCGGCGGACGGGUGAGUAACACGUGGAUAACCUACCUAUAAGACUGGGAUAACUUCGGGAAACCGGAGCUAAUACCGGAUAAUAUAUUGAACCGCAUGGUUCAAUAGUGAAAGACGGUUUUGCUGUCACUUAUAGAUGGAUCCGCGCCGCAUUAGCUAGUUGGUAAGGUAACGGCUUACCAAGGCAACGAUGCGUAGCCGACCUGAGAGGGUGAACGGCCACACUGGAACUGAGACACGGUCCAGACUCCUACGGUGGGCAGCAGUAGGGAAUCUUCCGCAAUGGGCGAAAGCCUGACGGAGCAACGCCGCGUGAGUGAUGAAGGUCUUCGGAUCGUAAAACUCUGUUAGUAGGGAAGAACAAAUGUGUAAGUAACUAUGCACGUCUUGACGGUACCUAAUCAGAAAGCCACGGCUAACUACGUG
rnacentral:rRNA from 1 species